AAAGAAUUAGUUAAAUUAACAUUAGUAUGUCAAGCUAAAAUUAUUAGUAUAGUCUAAUAUUCUUUA
rnacentral:tRNA from 1 species